UGCUGGUUCUUCAUCUGGUAGCCUUGCCUAAAGUUUUAUAAAGGAAAUGGGGAACUAUAUAUACUAUUUAUGAACCCUGUUACCGCUAAGAUCCUUGUACUGGUAGUUUGUGCUAUAAAGAAAGAAGCGUCACUUUGGGCUACUACGGGUGCUCACGAGAGUAAUUCGUUCGUGUUGUGUCGCUGUGGCGGUGUGUGUCUUAUUACAAACUCUUCUUCUUAAUCAAUGAAAUGGUAAAUCUUUUGCCUUGUUUCAACAAAAGUAGAUCUUUGUACUGUGGUAGCUUUUGUAUUGCCCCUUCUUUUUUCUUAUACUUGUGUAUAUGCAGCUAUUUUUUUUGCGAGAAUCUGUAUAUGCAGUUAGAGUUGAGAAAAUGGGAUAUCUUUGUUUUAGAAUUUUUUUUUGAAAGAUCUUUAUUAUUUGGGUAUCAAAUUAUUCCCGCUCUGCAGAAAUCACGCCUUCUCUUUAAAGAUGUGAUAUUCAAAUUUUGAUUUUUGCCAUUACUGCAUGUUUGCCUGUACUGUUUCCAUGUCUGCUUCCGAUGGGUGCCUCACCUGCAGACAUCCUCUCAGUCGUCUCUAUGGAUACUCUGUCCUUGAGGCACCUGAUCUCAUUGACCUCUUAAUUCCUGAAGGAAUCAACAAACAUCUCUACUAGCUGCUAUUUCCAAACGUAUUUUUUGGAGAUCUAACAAUGUGCAUGUUUAUUAUGAAAAGGAAAUAAAUAAAAUAUUAAUAAACAAUAUCACAAAGAGAAUGGUUCUAAAGUAAUUGAGAAGGGCAUGUGGGGUGUGUGAGGACUAUGAUUUAAUUUAAUUUCAUCGUGAAGAUCAGUUGAGUGCCAUGAUGCAGCAACGGGUGUGGCUUGGGGAGUACAAAGGUAAUUAUUCCACAUGUCAAGAAAAUCCAAAUUGUCGAUCCAUAGAAACACAAGGAUAUAUAGCUAGCUCUAUCUGUACUCUUUAUGACAUAGCUGAUGGGGGCCGUGCAUUUUGUAGUUGUGUCAUGCCAUCUGGUGUGAGAGGUCUGCAUGAUGAAAAUGGCAUCGGUGAGAAUACGGUGAGCGUUCGUAACGGGGAAAGGGAUGCAGGUGUGCGACUGAGGUUGUAGAUAUGAUGACGGGUUCAUCACAUCUGCAGGGAGAAGCGGCUCGGUGUGCUCGCAUAGAGAAAAAAGUACAUAUCGUUCCGUCGCAACACAGGGGCACUCAGCUAGUUAGAAUAACGUGCGUAUAUAGACUAUUCUGUUACCCCUGCGCCCUAUAUAGACGCGCGCGCGACACAACGUCAGGUUCCCGAAUCCAGCCCACUAACCGGCCCGAUAGAAAAGAAAACAACUCCAUCCUGCCUCCCCCGAACCACCCACUUCCCGAUCCCAUCUCGCCACCGUCGCCACCCCUUCCCCCGCCGCCGUGCGCCUUCACCCCUCGCGCCGCCGCCGGCCUCCCCCGUUCCAGCGCGCCGCGGCCGGCCUCCCCCGUUCCAGCGCGCCGCCGCGGGCUUCCCCCUUCCAGCGCGCCGCCGCGGGACUGCCCCCUUCCAGGGCGCCACCGCCGCCCCCUGGCUUCAAUCUGCCGCCGUCGGAUCCCCCGGCUUCCACAUGCCGCCGUCGUCCCCCUGGCUUCACCUGCCGCCGUGGCGUCCCCGCUUCCACCAACCGUCGUCGGGGGUCACCCCCGACACCUCCACCGUCGCCACACGUGACGCGCCUCCUCCCAAGGACGCGGUCGCCUCCCCGCGCCUCCUGCCGGCGACGCGACCACUCCUCCCGGCAAUGCGCCAUGUGUGGCCCAUGUUCCGGCGUCGCCCUCCGGGGCCUCAGCGCGCAGGCCGUUCAACUCCGCCACCUGAGGCCGUUCACCUCUGCCACCUGAGGCCAUUCACCACCACCAGUCCCCGUCCAAGGCCGCCCCGAUGACCCACCCGUUGCAGCAAAAACAAGAUGCACAAGUUCAUCUUUUGUAUGCUUUUCAGUACAUCUACUUCCCAAUCUUUGUAAUGCUGCUCCACCUUCCGGUCAUUGACGAGGCCCUGGGCAGGCGCUUCCUCCUCCUCUCAGGAACCGACCCAACCACUGCCGCCAUGGCACGGCGCCUCCACCUCUCGGCGAAGGACCACCACCUCCCCGACGACGUGCCCAACCCCGAUGAGGCCCGCCGGCCCUGGAGUUCCUGCCGCGACGCCUCGACCUCCUGUUCAGCCAUGGAUUCUUGCCAUCAUCCACGUCAUCAGGAACACGAUUGUAAAAGAUACAAGUUGCAGUUCCAGGGCAACCUAUCUCAGAUCCUUUUCAGGUUCAGGGCCGGGGGAGAAGGCAGAACCUCUGGGUGCAUGAUGGAAACCAUGAUGCAUGGUAGAACAGACCUCGAAUCUGAGUUCUUCAUGGAGUAUGGUGAAAUAAACCGGUAUCAGGUUGGUGGUGAUUAAGGCCGCUACGUCAGUCCAAUCCCACCUCCCAGAAAGGUCACCGCCGCUACAUCAUCUCGCAAACCGAGCCCCCCGGUGCUGCAUCUUGUCAAGCUCACUGCCUUGCUGUGGUUCCAGUGGGGGACGGGCGGGCUCAUACACAGGAGGAUGGAUGCCCUGGUCUGGUACGACCAGGAUGGUAUCGGUGCUCCGGCCAACUCCAUCGAUCUGCUCAAGAUGGUUCAUGGACCUGCUCCCGCUGGCAUCGCGGACGCUGGCCGGUGGUGGAUCUUGAGCACCGCCUCUGGUCCCCUGUGCUCCGACGAUCGUGGCUGCCACCAGCAUGCGUGUGUCGUCGGUCCUCCGAGGCACCUCUCGCUUUGUGUUGUCCAUAGCCGCCCACACAUGCUGCCCCGAUUUCUACCUCACCUCCAAGCUUGAUGGACUGCUAUUAUUGGUUGGUGUUUCAUGAAUGCACCGAUGAAGCAUCAUGUGAGCUGAAGGUUUUGUUCCCUACAUCUGUUUGUGAAAUUCCUACAAGAACUAAUGAUGUGAUUAAUGUUCCAAACACAGAAUCUAAGUGGUUUUUCAUAUAGCUACAUCUAAUGAACUGCAGAUCACUUUUGAUGUGCCUACUGGUGCGUGCGUGUGUGUUGUGGGCUUGUCGCGUGCAUCCGCUGGUGGGUGCAUGGGUGCCUCCUGCUGGCAAAAACAUACACUCUGUACAAAAGAACGUUAAAACAUACACCCAGAAAUACAUGAUGUUCUAGAUGUAUUCUGGGUGGUCCGGCACCGCUGCGUCUAGCGGUCCAACCUCGCCGCCCGAGGCCGUUCACCGUCGCUUCAUUCUUGUUUUUAGUUCAGUCAGUCUCUUAUUUUAUUUUCCUUCAAUUUCUAAUUUUACUAAAGUUUAAUUUCUAAUUCCAAACAGUUUGUGUAAAUUCCCAUCGAGCAGGUCUGACUUAUUGUUUCUCUAAAGCGGCCAAAUCCCGGCGAACCUCUCCUCCAGCUCCACUUCGAGGCGCCGUCAGUCCACAGGAGCAUGGGCGGUGUGCUCAUCACCAAAAAAGAGUGCUUGGAAACUUAAAAUUCUGUACACAUUCGGGAAACAGAAGUUGUAGCUUCUUUCAAAGUUCAAAACAAAAAAUAUAUUCAGUUCAACUUGUUCUAGCAAACCAUGUGCGAGACACCAUAGAAUGAAAAUGUUGUUGCGUUGCCAGGUCUCCAAUUGGUUCAACUACAGAUAAGUUACAUCCGUUCGACUACAUAUAUUACACUAGUUCAACUGAGUGCGUCACACCAAUUGACUUAAGUUUUACAUAUGUAUUUAGAAAAAACUGUAGAUUUUGAUGAUGCAAGCUUAGUUCCUUUUUCUAUUUCCUAUAAGUUCAAGUGAUCAAUUGCUAUAUAUUUGGUGGGUUGUUUACUCAUACAGUUAAAAAAAGUGAAUUAUGUUCAUGGCCAGCGAGAUGCUCAUCAUUUGCCACAUCCAUCUCUACUGAAUUAUGUUCAUCUCUUUCAGUUCAUCUUUGAAAUUUUGGUCCAUUUUCUGUCCGUGUGGCUUGACGUGCAGCCCGCCGGCUCAGUCGUGUACGUCCAGACAAGACACUAUGGUGCAAUUUAAUGCAUGAAUAUGUGUUUGAGAGUGGAUGAACCCAUACCUGAAGGCUCUGGGCUCCCGACUAUAGCAACGGUGUCAAAUUCGCCAUGGCCGGCUCAACGGUGUCCCGCGGCGUCUCCCAAUUCCCUGAACAUCCAGCUCGAUCCGUUCGUCUACUACAAGCGCAGAUCCCUAGAGCUCUAAAAUUCUGUAUCAGGGUAAUUUUUUCAUCAGUUCUAAAAUUCCCAGAGCAUCAGUCCAACAACGUACCGGGGUAUACUGUGUUGCUCCUGCAAUUUUUUGUAUGCUUGUAUGUACAAAAAAUAUGGUACAGUUACUGCUUUGAUGUGUCGUGGUGCGAAUGUUGUUGAUGUUCAAAGUUUGUGAAGAGAAAGACUUCAAAAACUCGUGUCGCCAAUGGAAUGAAUUACUAGAAGUUCAAAUUUGCUAAUAAA